rnacentral:rRNA from 1 species
UGACCGCUGGCGGCGUGCCUCAUACAUGCACGUCGAGCGAACAGACGAGGAGCUUGCUCCUCUGACGUUAGCGGCGGACGGGUGAGUAACACGUGGAUAACCUACCUAUAAGACUGGGAUAACUUCGGGAAACCGGAGCUAAUACCGGAUAAUAUAUUGAACCGCAUGGUUCCAUAGUGAAAGACGGUUUUGCUGUCACUUAUAGAUGGAUCCGCGCCGCAUUAGCUAGUUGGUAAGGUAACGGCUUACCAAGGCAACGAUGCGUAGCCGACCUGAGAGGGUGAUCGGCCACACUGGAACUGAGACACGGUCCAGACUCCUACGGGAGGCAGCAGUAGGGAAUCUUCCGCAAUGGGCGAAAGCCUGACGGAGCAACGCCGCGUGAGUGAUGAAGGUCUUCGGAUCGUAAAACUCUGUUAUUAGGGAAGAACAAAUGUGUAAGUAACUAUGCACGUCUUGACGGUACCUAAUCAGAAAGCCACGGCUAACUACGUG